AUUGAACGCUGGCGGCAUGCCUUACACAUGCAAGUCGAACGGCAGCACGGGUGCUUGCACCUGGUGGCGAGUGGCGAACGGGUGAGUAAUACAUCGGAACAUGUCCUGUAGUGGGGGAUAGCCCGGCGAAAGCCGGAUUAAUACCGCAUACGAUCUACGGAUGAAAGCGGGGGACCUUCGGGCCUCGCGCUAUAGGGUUGGCCGAUGGCUGAUUAGCUAGUUGGUGGGGUAAAGGCCUACCAAGGCGACGAUCAGUAGCUGGUCUGAGAGGACGACCAGCCACACUGGGACUGAGACACGGCCCAGACUCCUACGGGAGGCAGCAGUGGGGAAUUUUGGACAAUGGGCGAAAGCCUGAUCCAGCAAUGCCGCGUGUGUGAAGAAGGCCUUCGGGUUGUAAAGCACUUUGUCCGGAAAGAAAUCCUUGGCCCUAAUACGGUCGGGGGAUGACGGUACCGGAAGAAUAAGCACCGGCUAACUACGUG
rnacentral:rRNA from 1 species